GCCACGCAAGUCCAUCGGGAAAUCCGCCAGCCCAACUGGCGGGCGUCCGGUGGAAACUGCGUGGCUCGGGACCGGAAGACCCAACGGGUACGUCUUGGGUAGGAGUGAAAUCCCGUAAUCCUGGACGGACCACCGAUAGCGAAAGCACGUUGGGAAGACGGAUCCGACGGUGAGGGACGAAAGCCAGGGUCUCGAACCGGAUUAGAUACCCGGGUAGUCCUGGCCGUAAACGAUGUCUGCUAGGUGUGGCUCCCGCUACGAGCGGGUGCUGUGCCGUAGGGAAGCCGCUAAGCAGACCGCCUGGGAAGUACGUCCGCAAGGAUGAAACUUAAAGGAAUUGGCGGGGGAGCACUACAACCGGAGGAGCCUGCGGUUUAAUUGGACUCAACGCCGGACAUCUCACCAGCAUCGACAACGGUAAUGACGGUCAGGUUGAUGACCUUUCCAGAGCCGUUGAGAGGAGGUGCAUGGCCGCCGUCAGCUCGUACCGUGAGGCGUCCUGUUAAGUCAGGCAACGAGCGAGACCCGCACUCCUAAUUGCCAGCACCGGCUUCGGCCGGGUGGGUACAUUAGGAGGACUGCCGUGGCUAACACGGAGGAAGGAACGGGCAACGGUAGGUCAGUAUGCCCCGAAUGUGCUGGGCAACACGCGGGCUACAAUGGCCGGGACAAUGGGUCGCCACCUCGAAAGAGGGCGCUAAUCUCAGAAACCCGGUCGUAGUUCGGACUGAGGGCUGAAACUCGCCCUCAC
rnacentral:rRNA from 1 species